rnacentral:piRNA from 1 species
UAUGGUGGCUACCAAAGUAGUUAAAUCGGC